CUUCUGUUAACUUUUUAUUAAUUGAAAAUUGAUAUAAGUAUUCGCAUUUGCAUUUCUCGUAUAUGGAUUUCUUGUGAAAGGAUUUUUUAAGCGAAUUCUUAUUCUUUGAAGUAGAAGACUUGCUUCUCUUAAAUUUUGCAAGAGCAAAUAAAGCGGAAUCUCAACAACAUAAGGUAAUUUAAAAAUCUUGAAAAAUAAAAAAAAAGGAUCGUUACAUCUGCAUUUGCAAGGUGAUAUUUAAGAUACAUUCAAAAGAAAAAUAU